AUGGUAAUGCUGACCCGUAAGGAGAUGAAUAUGAGGGUGGGUCCCGGUACGUACUAUGGUUUUGAGAUGGAGAGUAAUACAUUACCCAGGCGGAACGUCAAACGGAACGAGUUUCCUUGGGAGUCAUUGCCAAAAGACUGGACAACCUCUGUCAAGUUACGGGAGAUCUCAAAACGGCAUUCCAGCUAUACAGAUAGGCAGUCUUCCUCAGGUCACUGGAGUGGCUGUAGUAGUAACCGUCAUUCUCUGGACAGUGACCAUGUUGUCAAGGCGGAGACCAAUCCAGCAUCCACCUCCCAGUGUUCCCUUGGCAAUGACUCGGGGCGAGAUUCCCCCAUUCCCCCAGAAAGCAGAUGUGGGACGGAAUCAACAGGAGGCUACACAGGAGAUGAUACCAGCACAUUAGCAGGGGAUGACAACUCUGUCAUCAAUGCCAAACUGGACACAGAGACCUGGCUGAAGAGCUUGGCGGUACGUGCCCUGGGGAGGGAGGAAGUGAUGUCAAGUAGUGCCGAAACUCUCUCCUCCCUCACUCGACUGACCAAGAAAAACAUCAUGGCACUGGACCUCAUGAUGUCCUCCCCUCAGAAGAGACCCCCACCCUUCGAUGAUGGAGAGUGUUCCGAGUACUCAGUCGACCAGGAGGGAUUCUACACGUCUUUCCACAAUGACAGUGGACUACGGAAGAGUAACGGUACAUUGGUGGAUGAAGAGGAAGAGGAAGAGUUGUCCCUUAGUAAAGACUCGCACAGUCUGUGCAGUGUUGACAGCGUGAUUCAUAACCCUCAGGGGGCAGGAGAGAAGUUUGCUGGAACGAAGGCAAGCAGUGGGAAGAUCCUCAAUAAAGUGACUCCUCCUGCUCCUCCCAAGAGGACCAGUUCAUGUUCUGAGGGGGGUCCCAAGUCUCCUCAGGAUUCAUCCUCAUUCUCCGACACUGAUCAGGAAGCCAUGUCUUCCAGGGUGAUUUCUAAGACUCAGAUUUCUAACACAACCAUUCCUUCUAUGUGUCUUGUUCUCAGUGAUGAGGAUAGUUCACUUAGUAGACAGACUUCAAUGGAAGGAGACCCCUCCGUCAACAAGUGUUCCAGUGAAAAUGUGGCUGAUACAGAUCAAUCACAGGAAAAUUCCAUGACAAACCCUUCCCAACUUUCUCAUUUCGAUGGGAAGGGUGCUUUAGAUCACUCUAACAUUUCAGAAGACAAUAGUCAUUUCCAGACAUUACCAAAAACUUUCCAUGCCAAAUCAAAAGAAUCCCAACCAUAUGAUUACACAAAGUCAUGGCCAAGAUGCAUGAACAAAAAGUCUAGUGAGGAACAUCCAAAGUGUGGAAUAUUGAAAAACACAGACCGUUCCUUAAGUGGUCCCAAAACUCCAAAGUCCCUGAACUUUUCACCUGUCAUCAACAUGUUCAACCCAGGAACACCUCUGUCCCUCCAGCUUCCCCUCGUGUCUUCUCCAACCUCUGAUGAAGAUGGGGGAAAAGAAAGCAAGAUUGCUAACUUAUCAGAGGAAGGGAUCUACAAACUGACAGUCCAAGAGGAAAGGAAAGACCUUCCACUCAAGUAUCACCCAACUCUUGUUGUAAAACCUGGUGCACGAUCACAGUCGUCCGAAAGGAAAUCUUCCCAGGAGUUUGAAAAUUUGCCUUGUGAAAAAGACACUGGAAAAUCCACCUUCCUGUUCAUCGUUUACAGGAAACAAUACACAAACAUUUGGUUCCCAUCAAAAUGGUGCUGUCUCAAAUCAAACUACACCAGAUUCAUCUGUGACAUUUGCAGGAGCACAUAG
rnacentral:misc_RNA from 1 species